rnacentral:rRNA from 1 species
UACGGAGGGUGCAAGCGUUGCUCGGAAUUAUUGGGCGUAAAGGGUAGGUAGGUGGUCUUAUUUGUCUAGGGUGAAAGCCUUGAGCUUAACUCAAGAAGUGCCCUAGAAACGGUAAGACUAGAGUCCUGGAGAGGGUCGCGGAAUUCCCAGUGUAGCGGUGAAAUGCGUAGAGAUCGGGAGGAACACCAGAGGCGAAGGCGGCGACCUGGACAGGCACUGACACUCAACUACGAAAGCGUGGGGAGCAAACAGG